GAUGAACGCUGGCGGCGUGCCUAAUACAUGCAAGUCGAGCGAACGGACGAGAAGCUUGCUUCUCUGAUGUUAGCGGCGGACGGGUGAGUAACGCGUGGAUAACCUACCUAUAAGACUGGGAUAACUUCGGGAAACCGGAGCUAAUACCGGAUAAUAUUUUGAACCGCAUGGUUCAAAAGUGAAAGACGGUCUUGCUGUCACUUAUAGAUGGAUCCGCGCUGCAUUAGCUAGUUGGUAAGGUAACGGCUUACCAAGGCAACGAUGCAUAGCCGACCUGAGAGGGUGAACGGCCACACUGGAACUGAGACACGGUCCAGACUCCUACGGGAGGCAGCAGUAGGGAAUCUUCCGCAAUGGGCGAAAGCCUGACGGAGCAACGCCGCGUGAGUGAUGAAGGUCUUCGGAUCGUAAAACUCUGUUAUUAGGGAAGAACAUAUGUGUAAGUAACUGUGCACAUCUUGACGGUACCUAAUCAGAAAGCCACGGCUAACUACGUG
rnacentral:rRNA from 1 species